GUGUUCUAAGGUUUUACUACUUUAGGUCAGUAUAGAUAGGUUUCUACAAGUAAUAAGGAGGGAAAACAUUUGGGAAGUAAGUCUCUUUAUGGUGACACACAGAUAACACCUGAUGAAUUUUGAAGAAAGAGAAGACCUACACAUGGCAGAAAUGGAGAUCAAUGUAUUCUAGGAUUGAGAGAUGGUAUAUGUGUAUAGAGGCAGGACCACUGAAAGAGAAACUUCAUUACUAAUGAGGCAGGGAAGCAUACCUAAUUGAGCCAGCAAAACACCCGGAAGGGAAAAAGUGACAUGUGCUGGGCAAAUCAAACCACCAUCUCAUGCAGACAGCCCAGGACCUAGAACCCAAGAGAGCUGGGAAAAUCAAUACCCCCACAAAUUACUAAUUUGUUUAUAGCCAGGGAUCCACCAUCAUCUCUGAGGGGAUAAUUACUAUGGAGAAAGUAUCUAACUUCCUUGACCACAACAAACAUAUAAUGCUGAUCAAUCAAUAAGGAAUCGAAAGUUAUUCUGAGAUCCUGGGCACAGUCAGACCACUAUUUC
rnacentral:lncRNA from 1 species